UUUAGAGGAAGUAAAAGUCGUAACAAGGUUUCCGUAGGUGAACCUGCGGAAGGAUCAUUAUCGAAAAUACAGGGCUGUUGCUGGUCCUCAGGACAUGUGCACGCCUGUUGUUUUUAUUUUUCCAACUGUGCACUUGUUGUAGACCUGGAGUCUUUUUAUUGUUGGAAUAGAUUUAGGACUGCCAUGUGGCUUUGCCUUGCAUUUCCAGGUCUAUGUUGUAAUAUUUUUCACACAAAUGAAUGUUGAGUACUGGGGAACAUGAAAUAAUACAACUUUCAGCAACGGAUCUCUUGGCUCUCGCAUCGAUGAAGAACGCAGCGAAAUGCGAUAAGUAAUGUGAAUUGCAGAAUUCAGUGAAUCAUCGAAUCUUUGAACGCAUCUUGCGCUCCUUGGUAUUCUGAGGAGCAUGCCUGUUUGAGUGUCAUGAGAAGUUCUCAACCACACCGGUUUUCUUCGUCGGUGUAGCUUGGAUUUGAGGGUUUUUGCAGGCUUUGAACAGAAGCCGGCUCCCUUGAAAAGGAUGAGUGGUAUAUCUGCUCACCAUGGGUGUGAUAAUUGUGUCUAUGCCUUGGUGUAUGCAGGAGCCAACAGAGUAGUUUUUUUUGACGAAUUUGACCUCAAAUCAGGUAGGACUACCCGCUGAACUUAAGCAUAUCAAUAAGCGGAGGAAAAGAAACUAACGAGGAUUCCCCUAGUAACUGCGAGUGAAGCGGGAAAAGCUCAAAUUUGAAAUCUGGCAGCUUUUAGCCGUCCGAGUUGUAAUCUAGAGAAGUGCUACCUGUGCUGGA
rnacentral:rRNA from 1 species